AAGUCGAGGGGUAACAGGUUCCUUCGGGAAUGCUGACGACCGGCGCACGGGUGAGUAACGCGUAUGCAACCUUCCUGUAUCUGGAGGAUAGGCCUUGGAAACGAGGAUUAAUACUGCGUAACAUUAUAUUAUCGCAUGGUAAAAUAAUCAAAUCUACGGAGGAUACAGAUGGGCAUGCGUGCCAUUAGCUAGAUGGUAAGGUAAGGGCUUACCAUGGCGACGAUGGCUAGGGGUUCUGCAAGGAAGAUCCCCCACACUGGUACUGAGACACGGACCAGACUCCUACGGGAGGCAGCAGUGAGGAAUAUUGGUCAAUGGAGGCAACUCUGAACCAGCCAAGCCGCGUGAAGGAAGACUGUUCUAUGAAUUGUAAACUUCUUUUGUGACAGAGUACAGAUAGCUACGCGUAGUUAUUUGCAAGUAUGUCAUGAAUAAGCAUCGGCUAACUCCGUGCCAGCAGCCGCGGUAAUACGGAGGAUGCAGGCGUUAUCCGGAUUUAUUAGGUUUAAAGGGUGUUCAGGCUGUCUGGUAAGUCAGAGGUGAAAGUCGGUUGCUUAACGAUCGAAUUGCCUUUGAAACUGUCAGACUUGAGUAUGGAUGCGGUAGGCGGAAUGUGUCGUGUAGCGGUGAACUGCAUAGAUAUUACCCAGAACACCGAUUGCGACAGCAGCUUACCAAAACAGCAAUGACGCUGAAGCACGAAAGCGUGGGUAGCGAACAGGAUUAGAUACCCUGGUAGUCCACGCAGUAAACUAUGGCUCACUCGCUGUUGGCUAUAGAUCGUCAGCGGCUAAGGGAUACCGAUAAGUGAGCCACCUGGGGAGUACGAUCGCAAGAUUGAAACUCAAAGGAAUUGACGGGGGCCCGCACAAGCGGCGGAACAUGUGGUUUAAUUCGAUGAUACGCCGAGGAACCUUACCUGGGCUGUAAUGUACGAUGCAUAAGUGUGAAAGCACUUUUUCCUUCGGGACUUUGUACAAGGUGCUGCAUGGUUGUCGUCAGCUCGUGCCGUGAGGUGUCGGGUUAAGUCCCAUAACGAGCGCAACCCCUAUUGUUAGUUACCAGCGCGUAAAGGCGGGGACUCUAGCGAAACUGCCGGUGUAACCGCGAGGAAGGUGGGGAUGACGUCAA
rnacentral:rRNA from 1 species